CCUACGGGAGGCUGCAGUGGGGAAUAUUGGGCAAUGGAGGAAACUCUGACCCAGCAACGCCGCGUGAAUGAUGAAUGUCCUCUGAUUGUAAAGUUUCUUUCUUAGGGAAGUAGAAUGUGACGGUUCCUUAUCUCUGCGCCUCCGCUAUCUAUGUGCCAGCAGCCGCGGCAUGACGGAGGACGCGAGCGUUCGCCGGAUUCAAUGGGUGUACAGGGUGCGUAGGUGGGUUGGCAAGUUAGUUGGGUAACUCCGAGGCUCAACCGUGAAAGUGCAUCUAAAACAGUGUGACUUGAGUGCAGGAGAGGCAGGCGGAAUGCGUGGUGUAGCGGUGAAAUGCGUAGAUAUUAGGAAGAACGCCGAUUGCGAAGGCAGGUUGCUAGACUGUAACUGACACUGAUGCACGAAAGCGUGGGGAGCAAACAGGAUUAGAUACCCCAGUAGUC
rnacentral:rRNA from 1 species